AUUGAACGCUGGCGGCAGGCUUAACACAUGCAAGUCGAGCGGGGUGAUGGUGCUUGCACUAUCACUUAGAGGCGGACGGGCGAGCAACGCUUAGGUAUAUGCCUCUUAGUAGGGGACAACAUCCCGAAAGGGAUGCUAAUAACGCAUACGUCCUACGGGAGAAAGCAGGGGAUCAAUAGUGACCUUGCGCUAAUAGAUGAGCUUCAGUCGGAGUAACUAGUUGGUGGGGUAAAGGCCUACCAAGGCGACGAUCUGUAGCAGGUCUGAGAGGUGGAGCCGCCACGCUGGGACUGGGACACGGCCCGGACUCCUACGGGAGGCAGCAGUGGGAAAUAUUGGACAAUGGGGGGAACCCUGAUCCAGCCAUGCCGCGUGUGUGAAGAAGGUCUUAUGGUUGUAAAGCACUUUAAGCGAGGAGGAGGCUCUUUUGGUUAAUACCCAAGAUGAGUGGACGUUACUCGCAGAAUAAGCACCGGCUAACUCUGUGCCAGCAGCCGCAGUAA
rnacentral:rRNA from 1 species